GACGAACGCUGGCGGCGUGCUUAACACAUGCAAGUCGAACGGAAAGGCCCUGCUCUUGUGGGGUGCUCGAGUGGCGAACGGGUGAGUAACACGCGAGUAACCUGCCCUUGACUUUGGGAUAACUUCAGGAAACGGGGGCUAAUAUCGGAUAGGAGCUCCUGCUGCAUGGGGGGGGUUGGUAAGGUUCGGCGGUUGUGGCUGGGCUCGCGGCUUAUCAGCUUGUUGGUCGGGUAGUGGCUUACCACGGCUUUGGCGGGUAGCCGGCCUGAGCGGGUGAACGGCCCCAUUGGGACUGAGAUACGGCGCAGACGCGUACGGGAGGCAGCAGGGGGGAGUAUGGCGCAGUAGGGGGGCGCCGGAGGCGACGGCGCCCCGUGCGGGAUGACGGCCUUCGGGUUGUGAACCGAUGUCGCCUGUGACGAGGCGUGAGUGACGGUAAUGGGUAAAGAAGCACCGGCUAACUACGUG
rnacentral:rRNA from 1 species